AUCGAACGCUGGCGGCAGGCCUAACACAUGCAAGUCGAACGAGUGGCGGACGGGUGAGUAAUGUCUGGGAAACUGCCCGAUGGCGGGGGCUCACUACUGGAAACGGUAGCUAAUACCGCCUACCAUCGGAUGUGCCCAGCUGGGAUUAGCUGGUAGGUGGGGUAACGGCUCACCUAGGCGACGAUCCCUAGCUGGUCUGAGGGGAUGACCAGCCACACUGGAACUGAGACACGGUCCAGACGCCUACGGGAGGCAGCAGUGGGGAAUAUUGCAAAAGGGGGGCAGGCCUGAUGCAGACAUGCCGGGUGUAUGAAGAAGGCCUUCGGGUUGAAAAGUACUUUCAGCAAGGAGGCGUUACUCGCAGAAGAAGCACCGGCUAGCUCCGUGCCAGCAGCCGCGGUAAUAC
rnacentral:rRNA from 1 species